AGUUAAAAACAGAGCAGAGCCUAGAGAGAGAAAGCCACAGAGAAAGCAAGAACGUAGAGAGAGAGAGAGAGAGCGAAAACGGCAGGCCGAAUCCGGGAGACGCGAGCACACAGACGUUGCGAACUGCUCCUCAGCACCUCCUCGAGCUCGCGCAUGUGAGGCAUGGCGACUCCUGUGGCCGGGCCUCAGCCCCCCGCCGGCGGCGGCGACGCGGCCGCGACGUCCGGGCCCGCCGGCCCCGCCCGUUCGAUGAAGUCGGUCCUCGAUUCCCCGAUCUUGAUCUUCCUCUUCUUCCACCGGGCCAUCCGGUCCGAGCUCGAUCGCCUCCACCGGGCCGCCACCGCCAUCGCCACCGGCGGCGGCGGCGGCGGCGGCGGCAUCGGGCCUCUGUCGGAGAGGUGCCGCUUCCUUCGCGCAAUGUACAAGCACCAUUGCCAUGCCGAGGACGAGGUCAUAUUUCCAGCUCUGGAUAUACAUGUGAAGAAUGUGGCCAGGACUUACACCUUAGAACACGAAGGAGAGGGUUUUUUAUUUGAUCAGUUGUUUGAGUUGUUGAACUCACAGAUGCAAAAUGAAGAACACUACAGGAGGGAAUUGGCCUCAUGCUUGGGAGCUCUUCAAACAUCAAUUAGCCAGCACUUGUCCAAGGAGGAGGAACAGGUCUUCCCUUUGCUUAUUGAGAAGUUUUCCUUGACGAACAGGCAUCAUUAGUAUGGCAGUUCCUGUGCAGCAUCCCUGUUAACAUGAUGGCUGAGUUUCUUCCAUGGUUCUCCUCUUCCAUAUCACCUGAGGAAUAUGAGGAUAUGCUUGAAUGCUUGCAUAAGAUAAUCCCUGAAGAAAAGCUUCUUCAACAGGUUAUCUUUUCCUGGAUUGAAGGGGUGAAAAUGCAUGAUUCUGGUAAGAGUCAUGGGAACAAUUGUAACACUGUCCCAUCAUCGUUUAGCAAUUCUUCUGAGGAUGACGACAGUGCGGUUAAAUCUUCAAAGAGCAGUAAAAGGAAAUUUGAAGAGGUGAAACUUGACCCUGCUGAUUCUGUUAUGAUUCAUCCUAUAGAUGAAAUCUUGUUCUGGCAUAAUGCAAUAAGAAGAGAGUUGAAUGAUAUAGUUGAGGCAGCCAAAAGACUCCAAUUUUCUGGAGGUUUCUCUGAUUUAUCUGCAUUUAACAAGAAGCUGUGUUUUAUUGCUGAAGUUUGUAUAUUUCACAGCAUGGCUGAGGAUAAAGUUAUCUUCCCCGCUGUAGAUUUGGAACUCUCUUUUGUUGAGGAGCAUGCUGCAGAAGAGAUACAAUUUGAUCGGCUGAGGCAUUUGAUCAAAAGUAUUCAGACUGAUGGAGCCAACACAACUUCUGCUGGAUUUAAUACAGAGUUGUGCUCACAUGCUGAUCAAAUGAUAGAUUCCAUCAAGAAGCACUUCCAGAAUGAGAACUUAAGGAUCUAAAUAUCACUUUCCCAGGUACUACCUUUAGCCAGAAAGCAUUUCAGCCCCAAACAGCAGCAAGAACUUCUGUACCAGAGCCUAUGCUUGAUGCCAUUGAGAUUAAUUGAGUCAGUCUUACCAUGGUUGAUUGGAUCCCUGAGUGAAGAAGAAGCACAGUCAUUUCUUCAGAAUAUGCAUAUGGCAGCUCCAUCGUCAGAUUCUGCACUGGUUACACUUUUUUCUGGUUGGGCAUGUAAAGGCCACUCCAAAAAGUUUUUGUAUUCUAGUGCAACUGGAUGUCCUGCCAAAAGAUUGACAGGGAGCAGCAUGGAGAGAGACGGUCUAUUUUGUAGGUUCGUUUCAUUGUCUUAUGCUGAUGACUUAACUUCUCUUGGUUGUGAAGAUGAGGCACCUAUUUUUGAAAGGCUAAUCAAGCAAGGCAACAGAUUUUGUCACAGAGACCAUGACAGUCAUCAAAUUAGAGGACUUCAAUAUGGCAAUACUUUGUCUGGUGAUGAUCGAACUUGUGUAACUAAGUUACGAGUGAAUUCUAAUAAGCUCGGAGUAGGUUUUCUUGCUGCUGCAAAAUCAACAAAUGCUUUGUGGUCCUCAUCUUUUGACAAAUGUGCCCCAUUCCUCAAGUCCAGUCUUUUUAACUGGGAAAUUGAUAUAUGCUCUGCCGAAGUUGGAAAUGCUAAUCGUCCCAUAGACAGCAUAUUUAAAUUUCAUAAAGCCAUCCGCAAGGACUUAGAGUAUCUGGAUGUUGAAUCUGGAAAACUAAAGAAUUGUGAUGGCACUUUCCUAAGGGAGUUCACUGGUAGAUUCCAACUAUUGCGGGGCUUAUAUAAAGCCCAUAGUAAUGCAGAGGAUGAUAUAGUAUUUCCAGCUAUAGAAUCCAAAGAGACUCUUCACAAUGUGAGUCACUCCUACACUUUAGACCAUAAGCAGGAAGAGAAACUUUUCAAAGAUAUUUCGGCUACACUUUCAGAGCUCACACAAUGUCAUGAAUGCUUCAACAGUGAACUUUUGUCACUUAAUUCAGAUGGAAGAAACUUUGUGUCUAUUUAUCACCAUGAGACCACAAGUAAGUACGCUGAGCUGUCCACCAAACUUCAAGGCAUGUGCAGAUCCAUCAAGGUUACUUUGGAUCAACAUCUUUUCCGAGAGGAACUUGAGCUAUGGCCAUUAUUUGUUAAAUAUUUUUCAGUUGAAGAACAAGAAAAACUAGUUGGUAGGAUAAUUGGUACUAUGGGCGCAGAGGUUCUCCAGUCUAUGUUGCCAUGGGUGACUUCUGCUCUCACCCAGGAGGAGCAAAACUAUGUGAUGGACACGUGGAAGCAGGCAACUAAAAACACCAUGUUCAGUGAAUGGCUUAAUGAGUGGUGGGAGGGAGCUGCUGCUACAACUUUGCAUACAGCUUCAUCAGAGAGUGGCUCGUCUUUUGGUGGUGAUAUUUGUGGAAGCUUGGAUCGUAGUGAAACAUUCAAGCCUGGAUGGAAGGAUAUCUUCCGAAUGAAUCAAAGUGAACUUGAAUCAGAGAUAAGAAAAGUUUCUAGGGAUUCAACUCUUGACCCAAGAAGAAAGGCAUAUCUUAUUCAACAUCUGAUGACCAGUCGCUGGAUAGCUGCUCAACAAAAAACACCUGAAGCUGUUGCUGAAAAUUCUACAAGUGACAUACUUCUGGGAUGUUAUCCAUCAUUUCGAGAUUCAGAGAAACAAGUGUUCGGUUGUGAGCAUUACAAGAGAAACUGCAAGCUUCGUGCUGCCUGCUGUGGCAAGUUGUAUACAUGCAGAUUCUGCCAUGAUAAUGUCAGUGACCAUACCAUGGACAGGAAAGCCACUGCUGAAAUGAUGUGCAUGCAUUGCCUUGAGAUUCAGCCAAUUGGACAAAUUUGUGCAACACCUUCAUGCAAUGGUCUCUCAAUGGCAAAACACUAUUGUAGCAUUUGUAAAUUUUUUGAUGAUGAAAGGAAUAUUUACCAUUGCCCUUUUUGUAAUUUAUGCCGUCUUGGGAAGGGUCUUGGGGUCGAUGUUUUUCAUUGCAUGACUUGCAACUGUUGUUUGGGGAUGAAGUUGGUUGACCAUAAGUGCCGGGAAAAAGGUCUGGAGACAAAUUGCCCAAUCUGCUGUGAUUUUUUAUUCACAUCGAGUGCAACUGUGAAAGCUCUUCCCUGUGGCCAUUUCAUGCAUUCAGCUUGCUUCCAGGCAUACACAUGCAGCCACUAUGUCUGUCCAAUUUGCAGUAGAUCCUUGGGAGAUAUGGCGGUUUACUUUGGCAUGCUCGAUGCAUUGUUAGCCUCGGAAGUGCUUCCAGAAGAAUACAGGGAUCGCUGCCAGGACAUACUGUGCAACGAUUGUGAUAAAAAGGGGACGGCACCGUUCCACUGGCUAUACCAUAAGUGCGGCUUCUGUGGAUCCUACAACACCCGGGUUAUUAAGGUCGAUACACCGCAUGUGGAUUGCUCGACAUCACGCUAGAUCGAAAUUUGGCGAGUAUUUCCCGUCCAUCCUUCUCACACAUGGCAAUGUACAUCGUCUGCCAUCAAAAUGGGAAACUGGUGUUGUGGUCCCUGCUUUUGUGUAAGGCUAAUACAUGCCAAAAGUUUGACUAUCGUGCGGUCAGUCCAAAAAUGAAAUGGAGAAGACCAAAGCUCAUUUUAGUCUCA